rnacentral:rRNA from 1 species
ACGUUAGCGGCGGACGGGUGAGUAACACGUGGGUAACCUACCUAUAAGACUGGGAUAACUUCGGGAAACCGGAGAUAACACCGGAUAAUAUUUCGAACCGCAUGGUUCGAUAGUGAAAGAUGGUUUUGCUAUCACUUAUAGAUGGACCCGCGCCGUAUUAGCUAGUUGGUAAGGUAACGGCUUACCAAGGCGACGAUACGUAGCCGACCUGAGAGGGUGAUCGGCCACACUGGAACUGAGACACGGUCCAG